AUGUCUUCGGACGUGCAAGAACAACUUAUUUCUUUAAUCUUUGAGAGGACACCCAUAUGGAACAGCAAAGAUGUGAACCAUAAAAAUAGAAGAAUAAUCAACCAAUUAUGGGAAGAAAUAAAAAACGAACUGAAUAUUGAAGUGACCGAUUUAAAGAAAAAAUGGAAAAAUAUAAAAGAUCACUAUAGAAAGGAAUUAAAAAAAAAUCCUACUCCUAGAUCAGGAGAUGCCGGAAAUAUUAAUCUACCCUCGAAUUGGCAAUAUUUUUCUCAAUUGAGGUUUUUGCAUGAUGAAAUUGUACCAAAUAUUACUGAGGGUAAUUUAACCAGUACUGAAGUAAGUAAUCAGAUAAGUAAUGAUUCUUUUGAGAUAGAAGACAUCUCUGAAGAAAGCUCUCAAGAAAAUACAACCGGUCAUGACGAAGAAUCUUCUAUUUAUUCACAACAAACUUCUACAUCAUCGCAAGAAACUUCUACGGCUUCAAGAGAAGCGUCUACUUCACAACGAUCAAGAAAAAAUAAAACAGCGAAUGACAUAAGAACUGAAUUUUUAGAAUUGGAAAGGAAAAAGAUAAGACUGCUGGAAAAUGAUUUAUCAAAUCAAAGUAGAAACGAGGCUUCUAGACAUGAGAAUAAGUCAGAAGACUACUACUUUUUUAUGAGUUUGCUUCCACACAUGGAAAAAUUCACACCAGUGCAAAAGUUAAGAGUAAGACAAAAAAUUAAUCAAGCUCUUUUAGAUGAGUUAAGUGUGCCCUUCUAAUGAAUCAUAUAUGUAUGGGUAUAGUACUCAACACUAGGUAUAUCAAUCUUAUAAUAAAAAUACUGUCAAUAAAUAACAAAACUGUGAUUCAAAUAACUAAUUAUCGUACAAAUGAGAACUGUGAUUUUAGAGAUAAAUGACUGUAGGUAACUGUGUUUUUUUUUUGUUAUUAGAUUAGAAUAUGUGUGGAAUAAUACUGUACACUAGGUAUGUCAACCUUAUAAUAAAAAUACUGUCAAUGAGUAAGAAAACUGUGAUUGUAGAAAUAAUUAAUCAUAAUAUAAAUGAGAACUGUGAUUUUAGAGAUAAAUGACUGUAGGUAACUGUGUUUUUUUUUGUUAUAAGAUUAGAAUAUGUGUGGAACAAUACUGUACACUAGGUAUGUCAACCUUAUAAUAAAAAUACUAUCAAUGAGUAAGAAAACUGUGAUUGUAGAAAUAAUUAAUCAUCAUAUAAAUGAGAACUGUGAUUUUAGAGAUAAGUGACUGUAGGUAACUGUGUUUUUUUUUGUUAUAAGAUUAGAAUAUGUGUGGAACAAUACUGUACACUAGGUAUGUCAACCUUAUAAUAAAAAUACUGUCAAUGAGUAAGAAAAUUGUAGAAAUUGUAGAAAUAAUUAUUCAUCGUACAAAUGAAAACUGUGAUUUUAAAAAUAAAUGACAAACUGUUAUGUUACCUACUUAUUUCAUACGAAACGUUUUUAUAUAAUAGAUGUUUUCGUCAAAGAUAAAUAAUUAAGGCUGAUUAGUGUGUAGUAGGUAUUUAAUUAAAAUGAUUGUAUCUGGGAACUUAAGACUGAUGCCAAACUAUUUACUAAAUUAGUGCAACACAAUUUCCUUUUUGAAACUAUCAAUAAAUACCUACAA
rnacentral:misc_RNA from 1 species